rnacentral:misc_RNA from 1 species
AAAAGCUGUCUUCGCUGAGGAGAGACAUCUGUAAGCUCCAGCGAACCUCCAUCACUGAAGGUCACUCAGCAGACGAUCACGAGCGUAGAUAGUUAUCACACCCGUGAUGCCACCAAACACUGGCAAGCUGAUCCAUUUGAGAGGAGCCGACCAUAGGCCAGCAAGACCCCCAACGUCCAAGCUCAUUGUGGCCAAACCAC